rnacentral:rRNA from 1 species
AGCGGAGGAAAAGAAACCAACAGGGAUUGCCCCAGUAACGGCGAAGUGAAGCGGCAACAGCUCAAAUUUGAAAUCUGGCCCCAGGCCCGAGUUGUAAUUUGCAGAGGAUGCUUUUGGCGAGGCGCCUUCCGAGUUCCCUGGAACGGGACGCCAUAGAGGGUGAGAGCCCCGUAAGGUCGGACGCCGAGCCUCUGUAAAGCUCCUUCGACGAGUCGAGUAGUUUGGGAAUGCUGCUCAAAAUGGGAGGUAAAUUUCUUCUAAAGCUAAAUACAGGCCAAAGACCGAUAGCGCACAAGUAGAGUGAUCGAAAGAUGAAAAGCACUUUGAAAAGAGGGUUAAACAGCACGUGAAAUUGUUGAAAGGGAAGCGCUCGUGACCAGACUUGCGCCCGGCGGAUCAGCCAGCGUUCUCGCUGGUGCCUCCGCCGGGUCCAGGCCAGCAUCGGUUUCCGCGGGGGGAUAAAGGCCAUGGGAACGUGACUCCCCCGGGAGUGUUAUAGCCCUAGGCAGAAUACCGCCGCGGGGACCGAGGACCGCGCUUCGGCAAGGAUGCUGGCGUAAUGGUCACCAGCGACCCGUCUUGAAACACGGACCAAGGAGUCAAGCAUUAGGGCGAGUGUCUGGGUGUAAAACCCGCACGCGUAAUGAAAGUAAACGCUGGUGAGAGCUUCGGCGCAUCAUCGACCGAUCCUGAUGUUCUCGGACGGAUUUGAGUAAGAGCCUUACCGCUUGGACCCGAAAGUUGAUGAACUAUGCCUGUAUAGGGUGAAGCCAGAGGAAACUCUGGUGGAGGCUCGCAGCGGUUCUGACGUGCAAAUCGAUCGUCAAAUAUGGGCAUGGGGGCGAAARACUAAUCGAAUCAACUAGUAGCUGGUUGCCGC